ACCUACGGGCGGCUGCAGUGGGGAAUAUUGGACAAUGGGCGAAAGCCUGAUCCAGCAAUGCCGCGUGAGUGAUGAAGGCCUUAGGGUUGUAAAGCUCUUUUACCCGGGAUGAUAAUGACAGUACCGGGAGAAUAAGCUCCGGCUAACUCCGUGCCAGCAGCCGCGGGAAUACGGAGGGAGCUAGCGUUGUUCGGAAUUACUGGGCGUAAAGCGCACGUAGGCGGCUGUGUAAGUUAGAGGUGAAAGCCUGGAGCUCAACUCCAGAAUUGCCUUUAAGCCUGCAUCGCUUGAAUCCGGGAGAGGUGAGUGGAAUUCCGAGUGUAGAGGUGAAAUUCGUAGAUAUUCGGAAGAACACCAGUGGCGAAGGCGGCUCACUGGACCGGUAUUGACGCUGAGGUGCGAAAGCGUGGGGAGCAAACAGGAUUAGAUACCCGGGUAGUCC
rnacentral:rRNA from 1 species